UCUGCCAAAAAAUAAAAACAGUGGGAUGAUUAAGGUGCAUCACCCUAGGUUAUAAACACCUCCAGAGAGGUACCGCCUCCUAAGGAGGCAUGCAUAUACUGUUUCAAUUUUUUUCCCCCAGAAACAGGCAAAAAGGGCUUUUGAUUUUAAAAGGCUAGGUUUAAACUGACUCAGGUCCUUCUUUCUGAACCAGCAAGCAGACAGGGUUCCACAAGACUGAUGGAUGACUCCAGCCAUUAGGAGGAAUCCCCAAGCAAUCACCUGAGCUGGAACAAGGGCUGUACCGGGGGAAAGGAUUGUGCCCAGACUAGGAAGGUGUCCAGCUCCAGUCUGUGAAAGAAACAUAUUGAAACAUCUCUAAGGAGAUGAACUUAAGAUUUGAAGAUUGCCAUGCUGCUAAGCUACAACAGGAAACCAGGAUGGGAUCUACUACUACUUCUCGGAAUUCACUUACUCCUGAGGACAUUCUGCGCCAAAAAAUAAAAAUUCGGUGCACAAUA